CCUACGGGUGGCUGCAGUGGGGGAUAUUGCACAAUGGGGGGAACCCUGAUGCAGCGACGCCGCGUGUGGGAAGACGGUCCUCUGGAUUGUAAACCACUGUCCCCAGGGACGAAAAUGACGGUACCUGGGGAGGAAGCUCCGGCUAACUACGUGCCAGCAGCCGCGGUAAUACGUAGGGGGCGAGCGUUGUCCGGAAUUACUGGGUGUAAAGGGAGCGUAGGCGGGGAUGCAGGUUGGGUGUCAAAACUACCGGCUAAACUGGUAGUCGCACUCAAAACUGCAGCUCUUGAGUGAAGUAGAGGCAGGCGGAAUUCCUAGUGUAGCGGUGAAAUGCGUAGAUAUUAGGAGGAACACCAGUGGCGAAGGCGGCCUGCUGGGCUUGUACUGACGCUGAGGCUCGAAAGUGUGGGGAGCAAACAGGAUUAGAUACCCCUGUAGUC
rnacentral:rRNA from 1 species